AAGCUGACCAGCACGCCGCGUGAGGGAUGAAGGCUUUCGGGUCGUAAACCUCUGUCGGAAGGGAAGAAAGGGCAUGGGUCUAAUAGGCCUUUGUUUUGACGGUACCUUUAGAGGAAGCACCGGCUAACUCCGUGCCAGCAGCCGCGGUAAUACUGAGGGUGCAAGCGUUAUUCGGAAUUACUGGGCGUAAAGCGCACGUAGGCCGCUUCGUAAGUCAGGGGUGAAAUCCCACGGUUCAACCGUGGAACUGCCUUUGAAACUGCAGAGCUUGAAUCCUGGAGAGGGUGGGGGAAUUCCUGGUGUAGGAGAGAAAUCCGUAGAUAUCAGGAGGAACACCGGUGGCAAAGGCGGCCACCUGGACAGGUAUUGACUCUGAGGUGCAAAAGUGUGGGGAGCAAACGGGAUUAGAUACCCUGGUAGUCCACACCGUAAACGAUGGAUACUAGGUGUCGGGGACUUGAUCUUCCGUGCCGUAGCUAACGCGUUAAGUAUCCCCCCUGGGGAGAACGGUCGCCAGGCUG
rnacentral:rRNA from 1 species